GGAAGUGUGGCUGAGCGGUUGAAGGCACCGGUCUUGAAAACCGGCGACCCGAAAGGGUUCCAGAGUUCGAAUCUCUGCGCUUCCGCCA
rnacentral:tRNA from 1 species